rnacentral:rRNA from 1 species
UAGGGAAUCUUCCGCAAUGGACGCAAGUCUGACGGAGCAACGCCGCGUGAGUGAAGAAGGAUUUCGGUUCGUAAAACUCUGUUGUUAGAGAAGAACAGCGCAUAGAGUAACUGUUAUGCGUGUGACGGUAUCUAACCAGAAAGCCACGGCUAACUACGUGCCAGCAGCCGCGGUAAUACGUAGGUGGCAAGCGUUGUCCGGAUUUAUUGGGCGUAAAGCGAGCGCAGGCGGUCAAUUAAGUCUGAUGUGAAAGCCCCCGGCUCAACCGGGGAGGGUCAUUGGAAACUGGUUGACUUGAGUGCAGAAGAGGAGAGUGGAAUUCCAUGUGUAGCGGUGAAAUGCGUAGAUAUAUGGAGGAGCACCAGUGGCGAAGGCGACUCUCUGGUCUGUUACUGACGCUGAGGCUCGAAAGCGUGGGUAGCAAACAGG